GGUUCAAGUCCCAGGACUGUAAAAAAAAAAAAAAAAGACAGCAUUUGUUCAUAAUAUGUAGGGGUUCAUUUUUGAGCCCUCUUCUACUGCAUUUGUUCAAGCAUCCUCUAUAGACCGAGCGUGGAUGUUUUGAUUAUUGUGGAUUUGUGUCUGAAGACACAGUUCACCCUGGUGAGGAAGUCUUCAUGGCAGGAGCCAGAAGCAGCUGGUUACAUCGUGUCUACAGUCAGGAAGCAGACCAUUAUGAAGGCUGCUAUACAGUUUAUUUCUCUUUGUAAUGUAGCUCAGGACCCCAGCUUAUGGAAUGGUGCCACCUACAUUCAAGAGGGAUACAUCUCUUGGUGACAGAGGCUGUUGUCCUGGGGAAACAUAAGGAGCCAGAUGAGAACCAGAAUUCAUCUCUCUCUCAACUUACUGAGUGCAGAAGCAAUGAGAGCAGCUGCCUCCCACUCCAGAUGCUGCGCCUUUCCCCACCACAAUGGACUGUAUGGCCUUGAAC